UACGGAGGAUGCGAGCGUUAUCCGGAUUUAUUGGGUUUAAAGGGUGCGUAGGCGGAAUAUCAAGUCAGCGGUAAAAAUUCGGGGCUCAACCCCGUCGAGCCGUUGAAACUGGCAGACUUGAGUUGGCGAGAAGUACGCGGAAUGCGUGGUGUAGCGGUGAAAUGCAUAGAUAUCACGCAGAACUCCGAUUGCGAAGGCAGCAUACCGGCGCUCAACUGACGCUCAUGCACGAAAGCGUGGGUAUCGAACAGG
rnacentral:rRNA from 1 species